UACGUAGGGAGCAAGCGUUGUUCGGAUUUACUGGGCGUAAAGGGCGCGUAGGCGGCGCGGUAAGUCACUUGUGAAAUCUCUGAGCUUAACUCAGAACGGUCAAGUGAUACUGCAGUGCUAGAGUGCAGAAAGGGCAAUCGGAAUUCUUGGUGUAGCGGUGAAAUGCGUAGAUAUCAAGAGGAACACCUGAGGCGAAGGCGGGUUGCUAGGCUGACACUGACGCUGACAGCGCGAAAGCCAGGGGAGCAAACAGG
rnacentral:rRNA from 1 species